AGGAUUUUGCUACUUGAUAAUGUGUGUGGGGUCUAGAAGUCAAGGAAGACUCUCUAGGUUCAGGAAGAGGAUGGAGUAUUGAUCAAAACAGGAAGGUCAGAAAAGAACCCCUCUGGGAAGAGUUGGUGCUGAAGAUGAGAUGGAGUAAGAGAGGCAUGUUGGGCUGUCAGUUUCACUCAGGACCCAUGGCAGAAUAUUGCUACCAACGGACCAUAACAAAAACAAGAAGAAUUGAAACAUUUUGGAGGCCGGAAACACCACAUUGAUAUUUCUCUCCAGUGUGAAAUAUUUUAACCUGAAAAACUUCUAGAUGCAAUUUUCAGAUAAAAUAGGCCUAUUCUAAUGAAUCCAAGACAAGAAGAAUCUUUCAAGUGUUGCUAACCAGAACUGAGCAGAUCCAAGUAGCAAUCGUAGCCAAGCCAUUAGUCCAUGUAUGGAGAGACCAGAGAGGGCAUCCCCACGUGGUGAUGCCUCAAGCUUCAGGAGCACUCGACCAGAGUCAGUGUAGCCCUUGGCAGCUGGUGAAGCACAACCUGGGACAAAUGGAAGCUUUAGCAAUGAGCCGAUAGGUCAAGGCUAACCAGAAAGAAUGCAGCUGGGUAAUGCAAGCUAUCCUAUCUUGUAAUUAAAAGGGUUUUCUGUGUGGUUACCUGACGUAGUUACUAAAUGGCUUGCAUGAAAUAACAUGCAGCAUUCUGCAGUUACUGUGCAAUUACCUUAUAUCAUCACCCUACAGUCAAAAGACAAAAAGAAAAUUCAGGGUGAAGCUUUUAACCGCAAUUUGUAGCAAAGAUGUUUGGAAUAAAAACACAUUGCUUGUUA
rnacentral:lncRNA from 1 species